rnacentral:rRNA from 1 species
GGGGAAUAUUGCACAAUGGGGGGAACCCUGAUGCAGCGACGCCGCGUGAGUGAAGAAGUAUUUCGGUAUGUAAAGCUCUAUCAGCAGGGAAGAAAAUGACGGUACCUGACUAAGAAGCCCCGGCUAACUACGUGCCAGCAGCCGCGGUAAUACGUAGGGGGCAAGCGUUAUCCGGAAUUACUGGGUGUAAAGGGUGCGUAGGUGGUAUGGCAAGUCAGAAGUGAAAACCCAGGGCUUAACUCUGGGACUGCUUUUGAAACUGUCAGACUGGAGUGCAGGAGAGGUAAGCGGAAUUCCUAGUGUAGCGGUGAAAUGCGUAGAUAUUAGGAGGAACAUCAGUGGCGAAGGCGGCUUACUGGACGGUAACUGACGUUGAGGCUCGAAAGCGUGGGGAGCAAACAGGAUUAGAUACCCUGGUAGUCCACACCGUAAACGAUGAUUACUAGGUGUUGGGAGAUUGACCCUCUCAGUGCCGCAGUUAACACAAUAAGUAAUCCACCUGGGGAGUACGACCGCAAGGUUGAAACUCAAAGGAAUUGACGGGGGCCCGCACAAGCAGUGGAGUAUGUGGUUUAAUUCGACGCAACGCGAAGAACCUUACCAAGUCUUGACAUCCUGCGACGGACAUAGAAAUAUGUUUUUCCUUCGGGACGCAGAGACAGGUGGUGCAUGGUUGUCGUCAGCUCGUGUCGUGAGAUGUUGGGUUAAGUCCCGCAACGAGCGCAACCCUUAUCCUUAGUAGCCAGCAGUUCGGCUGGGCACUCUAGGGAGACUGCCAGGGAUAACCUGGAGGAAGGUGGGGAUGACGUCAAAUCAUCAUGCCCCUUAUGACUUGGGCUACACACGUGCUACAAUGGCGUAAACAAAGGGAAGCGAGAUCGUGAGAUGGAGCAAAUCCCAAAAAUAACGUCCCAGUUCGGACUGUAGUCUGCAACCCGACUACACGAAGCUGGAAUCGCUAGUAAUCGCGGAUCAGAAUGCCGCGGUGAAUACGUUCCCG